AGGGGAAUCCGACUGUUUA
rnacentral:ncRNA from 3 species